GUAGGUGAACCUGCGGAAGGAUCAUUAUUAAAUUAAUAAUCCAACCUUGUAAACCAAUCGAACUGUUACGCUCAUUUGGCCGGAUUGAGAUUUAUUUCUCUUUCUUCCUUUUGAGUAUUUUUAUUAUAAACCUUUUUGAACUUUAGUACUAAUUAUAAAUGUUCUCUACCCAAAGGUUGGUAAAACAAUUUUUGGGAUUGAACGUUUUCUUAAUAGAAAACACAGAACAACUCUUAGCAACGGAUGUCUC
rnacentral:misc_RNA from 1 species